rnacentral:misc_RNA from 1 species
UCUCCGUAGGUGAACCUGCGGAGGGAUCAUUACCAGAAGUGGUCGUACACGGCGGCUCCGGCCGCCGCGUGCGAUGGCCUCCAACCCUUUGUGAAUCGUACUCGUUGCUUCGGGGGCGACCCUGCCGUCCGCGGCUGAGCGCCCCCGGGGUCAAUCAAACACUGCAUUCUCUGCGUCGGAGUAUUAGUAAAUCUAAUCAAAACUUUCAACAACGGAUCUCUUGGUUCUGGCAUCGAUGAAGAACGCAGC